rnacentral:rRNA from 1 species
GACGAACGCUGGCGGCGUGCCUAAUACAUGCAAGUUGAGCGAUGAAGAUUGGUGCUUGCACCAAUUUGAAGAGCAGCGAACGGGUGAGUAACGCGUGGGGAAUCUGCCUUUGAGCGGGGGACAACAUUUGGAAACGAAUGCUAAUACCGCAUAAUAACUUUAAACAUAAGUUUUAAGUUUGAAAGAUGCAAUUGCAUCACUCAAAGAUGAUCCCGCGUUGUAUUAGCUAGUUGGUGAGGUAAAGGCUCACCAAGGCGAUGAUACAUAGCCGACCUGAGAGGGUGAUCGGCCACAUUGGGACUGAGACACGGCCCAAACUCCUACGGGAGGCAGCAGUAGGGAAUCUUCGGCAAUGGACGAAAGUCUGACCGAACAACGCCGCGUGAGUGAAGAAGGUUUUCGGAUCGUAAAACUCUGUUGGUAGAGAAGAACGUUGGUGAGAGUGGAAAGCUCAUCAAGUGACGGUAACUACCCAGAAAGGGACGGCUAACUACGUG